rnacentral:rRNA from 1 species
GCCUGGGACUUUUUGCUUUAGGGUUCAGCAUCUGUUAAAAUUGAAGUUUUAUCUCGGAAGCUAAGCAGAGUCAGGCCUGGUUGGUACUUGGAUGGAGACCACCUAGGAAGACCAGGUGCUUUAGGUG